GUUUGUCACUAGAGGCAGGGAUGAAUGCAUACCAGUUGAUAAAGGAACUUGAAGGAAACUCCACGGAAAAGGUAACUCGGUAUUAAGUGGAAGAAGGAACAACACAUACGAAGUUUCUCGUGCGGCUGGUUCCAUGUACAACAAGGUUCGUCAUGUUUCCAAUGAGGUUGCUGAUGGAUUGCCUCUGUGGAUGUCACUUGCCUUAUCUUCUGGGUAGGUUUUUGUUGGAGGCUCAUCAUCCCCAUCCCAAGAGCCCAACACAAUAGAGAGAGAGA